GGCACAGAACUGGAAUUGCCCUGGACGGCCACAGCUCUGCAUAUCCCCCAGGAGUGUGGACAAGAAAAAAUAAACACAAUUAGAGUUCACGACAAUGGGCCCCUGAUGGAAGGUAAGCCCGGCUAGCCUCUAAGGGCUGUGCCGGCUCCCACGAACUUCCAAGGCCGAGGACGGUGCCGAGACCCAACUUCCGGUCUCAAGAAAACUUGGCGCUGCAGGAAGACAAUGACAGUACCCUCCACUGAUCUGGGGCAAGAGGAAAUUUCUGAAUGAUCCCCCCGUAGCUUUCCACGCUCCACUGGGUCUGCGAUACAAAACUUCAGAUCCUAACAGUUGGGCUUUUCAAACAAACCAGUUUUUAAAAAUGAAUGUGGCUUACCCCCAACAUUCCAGCUGAUCAAAAGUACUUGUUUAGAAAAAUAAGUUUAGGAAUGAAGUGGAAACAAGGCCUUUGAAAUGCAGCUUAACCUAAAUAGCACAUUUUAGACUUUUCCUCCCCACUGCACAUUCUUUAUGGUGUAGGGGCCAGGGAGCCUGCAGUCUUCACCCCUCCUGAGCCCUCCUUGGCCUCGGGCUUCCUCUCCCCUGCUGCUGAGGCCUUCAGUCAGGGGCUGGCAUCUGGGAGAACCUUGAAACUGUUUCCCAUCCCCUUUGGCAGCAAGCAACAAGCACCAAAACGCUCCAGUUAACACCAGUGCAAUCAUCGUUAACGUGAAACAGCUGCCCGAGGCCUGGCGUAUCCACCAGACCGCCCCCUCCCCUCCAUGCUCAGCUGUGAGUCACCAGAGACCCCGGCUAAGGCAGGGCCCGGGAGGGAGCGGGGAUGCGAGGAUUGUUGAUGGAGCCCAGCUGUUGUAUAUGAGAAAGCAAACUAUUGCUAAAUCUCUUACCUACCUUGGAAAAAGUGUCUGAACUGUGUGCAUGAGGGACGGCGGUGGAGGAGAAGAAACAUGAAUUGAUUUAUGAACCCGAUUUAAGUUCCUAAAGUGAUUGUUUUAAAGUUAGAAACAGCCAGAGUCACUAUAGUAAGAUUUUGUUCAACCGUUUGCGAAAUCAGCAGGCAAAUCAAUGUCUUUUUUUCCUUCCUUUUUCUAGAGACCUGGGUUGAAUUUGCUUUCUGGUCACUUACAGUCCUCUAAAGCACAGACAAGAAAUCUUUUUUGCAUAAAUAACUUGUAUGUGUUCAUUCCCAGAGGAAGUUGUCCGCAUAAGCAAACAUCACCCAGAUAUAAGUUUAACCUCUUUAAUCUUCCCCUCCACCCUGUCCACAAGGACAUACCAAGCUUUCCAAAAUCCAGGCAGAACUCCAGUUCUCCGACCCAGAAAAAGCCUGGCCUCACUCUCCACCUCCAGCUCAGCACUCAGGCCUGGCAGGCCACCGGCUGCAGAAAGAUCCUCCUCCCCUUCCCCACCCAAGCAGUUGUGUUUCCCAGCAAAAAAUCGGACCCUCAGCUGCUACCGCAGCCACAUGAUCCACUCAGUGACUCACAGGCAGGCCACACCCCUUCAGGCCUCCCGGCCAGGCUCUGCUCCCAGCCAGCUAACUCUGGGAUGCAUCUUAUUACCAAAGGGAACAACUAGCUAACUAAUGCCCUUGACAGUCCAAAUAAUUACUUUCUUUCAUUAGAAGAACUUGCUUAUAAAAUAUAUACGGGCUGAGAGGACGCAGGCUCUUCUGAACUCUGGCUCUGCCAGCUCUCCAAGUCCUCCCCCACCAUGCCAAGACCUGGGGAAUGGCAGACAUGGUUAGCUGGGAAGCUAGAAAGCUAAGACAUUCCUGUUUAAAAAGAAAGCUCUUACAUGUUAAUACCUUUUUUUCCCAAAAAUUUUAUUGGGGGAAAACUACAAAACAUUUACAGUACAAUGUUUACAGUCACAAUUUGUAGUGAGCUGAUUCCCCAAAAUAUAUUACAACUCAAGUUGACUUAUCUUGUUACAUUCAAAAACCUACUUCUGUCCAAAGUAGUCCAGAGAGUACAUAUAGUGCUCCAACUGUACCUACGUACAAACUAAAGCUACCGCUCAUUCAUCUGCUGUCCAGGAAAGCUUAGGAGACAUUCCUGCCUUUCUACAUGGAAAAAAAAAUAGUACAAGUUUUGGAAUUUUCUGUAAUUAAACAAGGCAUAUUCAUGUACUACAUAUUUCAGCACUAAGGCGGUUGCUUCACUUUAUAUCUAUAUAAAAAAAGUGGUAAAAAUCUUUUCCUUUUGUGCAGUUGAACCCAUCCUACAUUCAGAUUCUCUCAAGCACUAAUAAAAUACUUAUUUGGUUGAGGAAGAUUUAAGGCAAGUUCGGGCCCUUCCAAAGGCACUGUGAGACUCCCCCCCCACUCCCCGUUAUUGCUACAUGUCUUUAUACUCGAGUAUGUCACAGUAGAACUGGUGGAAUAAGCAAACACUUUUUUGCUAGUUUAUAAAGUUGGAAUUAGAAAAGCAUGCCACAUUUCAGCCUGAUUGCAAAGUAUGUGGUCAUUUUUUUCUUUGAAGUUGGAUGGGCUACAACCUUUAUACAUUCUAAGAAAACUCAUAGGAUGUUCCUCAAACUACUUCCACAGCAUCAAGAUCGAUUUCUGUCAAGAAAUCAUGCAAUCUUUCAAAAUUUACGUAAACAAGGAAAGAAAUUAAUGAAAUAAA
ensembl:lncRNA novel transcript, antisense to ZFP36L2